GGCGUCUUACUCAAGUGGUUACGAGGUGAGUCUAGAAAAUGAUUCUACACCGAUUACGGUGGGUCUUCAAACUCAUGGGCUUUGCCCGCGUAGGUUCAAAUCCUGCAGACGUCG